GAUAGGUCGAACUUGAUCUUCACAUAGAACUAUACUAUUGCAGGCUGGCGUUUUUGUCCGCUAUAAUAUAUUUGCGCAAGUUCCUUUAUCAAUCAAGUAAGUAUCUGUGAACAUGCUUUGCGGGGGGAUUCAUGAAUGGGGGGAGCUUGAGCUUCACAUAGAACUAUUCUAUUAUAGGCUGAUGAUUUCUUCCAUUAUAACUUAUUUACGGAAAUUCGUUCAUUAAUCAAUUAAGUUAGUGUACUUAAGCGUGCAUUUGCAGGGGUGGUGAUGGAUGGAUCGAAUUUGAGCAUCACAUAAAACUGAGCCAACACGACUGAGCUGAGGUUCUAACAUGCUAUAUGCUUAUGCGUUUUCCGCAAUAUGUAAUUUGCGCAAAAUCGCUUCAUAAUCAUAUAUUUAUUGCCUUUGUGCGUGCGUUCAAGCGGUGGGAUGGAUGCAUCAAGUUUCACCUUCAGAGAAAAAUAAGUUAGCACGAUUACGCAGAGCUUCUAUUGGGUAUAGACUGAUGUUCUUUCCUCGAACAGAAAUGUCUGCAUAUUCGUUUAAUAUUAAGGGAUGUUAGUGUAAGCAUGCGGGCUUUUGCAGGGGGAGUGAUAGAUGCGUCGAAGUUGAGGUUUUUAGAGAUUUGGGUCAGACGACGUGGCUGAGAUUCUGUUGGGCUCUAUUUCUUUUUCCGAGAUUAGUAAUUUUUGCAAAUUUAUAUAAUAGUCAUGUAAUUUAGUAACUGCGUAGGUGUGUUUGCAGGAGGAGUGAUGGAUACGUCGAGAUUCAGCUUUUCAUGGAGGCGAUUUACCACAAAUGAGCUGGUUGCAGUUUUCCGCGACAACUCUAAUUUCUUGAAAUUCGCUUGAUAAUCGUGCAGGUAGCUGUGCAGCGGGAGCGAAAUAUGUGUGAAAUUUGAGCAUUAUAUAUAAGUAAUUCCGACAGCGCAGACGUUCUAUCGGGCUGUAUACAUACGUUCUUUCCGCGAUGACGUACUUCGCAUAUUCGUUUAAUAUUGGUGCAAGUUUGUAUACGCGCAUCUGCAGUGGCAGUGAUGGAUGGUUCGAAUUUAAGCUUUACGGUGAAGUGGGUUAACACGACGUCGCUGAGGUUCUGACAUGCUGUAGGCUGGUGUUUCUUCUGAGAAUUGAUUUAUCUAUCAUUUACGUGUCUGCACACGUGCAUUUGUAGGGGGCGUGAUGGAUGCGUUGAGUUUGAGCGUUACAGAGAACUGAGUCAGCGUGACGUAGCGUAGGUUCUAACGGGCUAAAUGCUUGUAUUUUGCUCUAUAAGUAACUUGCGCAAAUGAGUUUAUUAACCGUAUGAGUUAGUUUCUACAUAGGUGCAUUUGUGCCAGCGAUAGUAAUAAUGCUCAUGUCGUGUCUAUAUAAAUGUUACCGCAAUUAAAAGAAAGGGGAUGGCGGAAUCUGAGAACAAGUUCGAGUUUGAUGGUGACUAGGCUAGCAACCCAGUGUCUCGUAUCAUGAAAUAUUUUUCCCGUUCCUGUCUCAUACGCAAACCACGUUUUCUUUUGUUUGCUUUCGUCCAUCGCUGCCGAGAGCGACCGGCACGACAUGGGCCCGGUCGUGUUGUGCACUUUGCGGCUUCGUCACCAGGUGAAGCGUGGGAGGCAGCACCGGGGGCAUCUGUGCGAGUCAGAGCAACAAGGGCGACUGGGGUGCUCAAGUGGCCUGGUGCCUUGGUUCCCGCGCUGCAGACCUGGUGACGAGCAGUUCUUGCCUACUUGUGUAUUGCUGCCCGUACAGCGGACUUAGUGGCCAGCUCUUCUAUCAGCCUGCUGUCUUGCCGUCAACCUUGUGCCACCCGUUCUUGCGAAGUGCUGGUGCUGUCCUUGCGUGCUUCGAUCGGGUUCGCCUGUUUCCUGCACACGACCGAGGGCGGUUAUGGCGCUCUGCGAAGCUGGCUAUCAUCGCGAGGUGUCAAGAGUGCUGUCGGCUGUAUACAUCAUUGAGUCCGGGGUGUGAGUCUGGCGAAAGUGGAACUAUCUCCACAAUUGGUCGCUUCAUAAUACACACCUAAAUUUACAACAUGCCAACAGAAAAAUAAAAAGAUAUUAUCAACGGCGGACACAUUUAGGACUUGUCGUUCUGUCCUGUCGUCGCUAGGUUGCAGCUGACGCAGUCACGCGCAACCUGGUACAAGUAGCGAAGUCUUUCUCUGCGCGACAAAUAAAAAAGAACGAAAAGAACUGAUGGCAUAUUGAGUUACACUUCUUGGAGUACCCAAGACAUUUGAUGACUGAAAUUUUGGGGUAGAUCACUGCGGCGUUUGACGUAGUGAUCAGAGUAGAACCUCAUGGUUUCCUUUGCCCACCUUUGUCUGUGUGCUCCUCACAUACGCGUGUAAUGUUUUCUUCUUUAUUUAUUUCAUCGGUACCACGAACGAACGGCACGAGAUCGACCUGAUUGUGUCGUGGACCCAUCUGUCAAGCAGUGACAUUGCUGGCCUUUCCUGCAUUCUCACCAGGACCAGCGUGGGAAGCAGCACGAUGGCCGACUCUACCAGCCGCAGCAGCAAGCGGCCUGGUGACCUGGUGGCCAGCAGUUAUUGAGCACAGACAUCUCGAUGCCCAGCCUGUGGGCCAGCUGGUCAGCUCUUCUAUCGGCCUGGUGUCUUGGUGCCCGCACUGCAGACUUGGUGACCCUCUGUUCUGGAGGCCUGGUGACUGCCCAUGCUGUGGACCUGGUGGCCAGCUGCUCUAGCUACCUGCGGCCUGUUGUCUUAGUCCCUCGCCUGCGGGCCCGGUGGCCAGCAGUUCCAGUGCACUGUUAUCUUGCUGCCCGCCCUAUGGACCUGGUGGUCAGCUCGUCCAUCAGCCUGGUGUCUCGCUGCCCGUUUUGCGGAUCUGGUGACCUCCCGUUCCAGCGAAGUGGUAUCAUGCUGCCCACCCUGCAGAUCUGGCGGCCAGCUGUUCCGGUCAACCUGACUUCUUUAGCAGCGAGGUGAAUAUCUCCUGCAGCAUGCUUGUGUCAAGCCACAUGUAGCAGCUGCGAGCAACGUACGUGACACAGUGUUCAUGCCACUGGCAAGGCUGCAGCACACUCUGUUGUCCUCGCGCAGCCGGAUGCUCCAUUUUGGAUGUCGGUUGGCCAGGAUGUCCAGCAAGGUUGAACCUUCUUGCUCAGCAUUUCUAAGUGCAAAAUUGCGGAGCAGCGUGCUCACUGGAAGUGGCGAUUAUGACGAGCAUGUCUCCACCACGGACUUCGAACGACUGUCCCUCGACCAGGAACAAGUUGGUAUGUGGUCCGCUGCACAGCCGCUGACCCAGCCUCGAGUGGUCCUGCUCAAACGUCAGCUCUGGAGUCUGUGUAAAAGCGGCCACGUUUAUGUUCACGAUGAAGUGGCCAUUGGCACCAUUGCCCACAAAUAUGGACAACGCGUUGUUACGUGCGCGCACACACACGUGCACACGCAUACGCGCACACACGCAUACGAACACGCAUACGCACACACGCACACACAGACACAGGAAAGAGCGCUGGCCAUGAGGCCAGAAGACGACAAUGACGACGUGUAACGCCGGUGACAUGCACGAUGACUGUCGUGUCAAGUGCCGUGAGCUGAACUAAUUUAGUGUUGGCAGAGGCAGGUCCUGGUUAGUCUAAGGAGAGCUGUAGGUAGGGCAGUGGGAGGAGAGAUCAUCGAAAUACAGCACCUAUAGGACCGGGGCUUACCUAGCUGUCCAAUAGGUAAAGGCAUAGGAAAGACAAGCAGUAGAAUGUUCGUUGAACGCCGUAGUUGGGAUAGAUAGCUGGUGGAACAGAAAACUAGAAGUUUCGGGAAAGUGUCUAAGCAUGACGCGAGUGCCCCGCCUUCUUCCGCCUUGGAACGCACUUCUACCGUCCUUGUCGUUCGCUGUACGUCCGUUCUUCACCGAACGGGACGUAGCCUAACCUAAGGCUAACUUGCUCUAAUUACCCCCUAGCUAUUGUUUGUUCUGGCGCUGGUUUCACCGUGGAAAUUUAUUAAGUAUGAAGUAUUACCGCGUAAGGGCAGGCCGGGUUUAAAUGGGCACGUUUAAGUGUUCCAAGUUGCCCGCUGCGCGUAGUAGCAUCAGCUGCGCAUCGCCGUUACGAAGGCCUGAAGCGGAAAAAGGAAGGGAGCAAUGUAUAGCAAGUUUCCACGCUGCCGCCGCCGAAGCACCAAUCGGCAUCGUUUGCAUGUUACUGACGGCGCAAACUAAUAAACGUGCAGCAUUCGUCGCAACUCUUACUACCAACAGCGUUCGUAGACGAAAGAUGGCGGGGCAGUAUUGAUCUGUUGUAAAACGCGCAAUGUGAGUGUGGUUACUAUCGGCUGGUCAAGCUGGUGUAGCGAAGUCUGCCGAGGCAACCAGCCUGGAGCGGAUUGUCCGAGUUUCGCUUACUUGAAAGCUGGUUGAGUGUCCAUACCCAUAGAAAUUGAGACCCGAGGGCUACAACACUGGUAAUCGGUGUGCCCAGUGUUGCAUUCCUGCACGAGCGUUUGCCGGAAGUACGUAAUUUCUCUGAAGUUAAAAUGAACUGUUUCGCUUACUUCAGCCUCUUUAUUAAAUUGGUUCGAUAAAUAUAGACAGUAGCAGGAGGAAAAACCGCGCUCAUUCAAGCACCCUUGUUGAUGUUCCGCUACUGACCGCGUAUAGAUAUCUUUUAUUUGACCAAAUAGGGCAGCCCGAAAACAGUGAAAAUAAUGUUUCUAUUGAAAAUCACGUUUGCGAAAAAGGUGAUCUCGCACUACGUUUGCGAGUUCCACCCGCCGCACAGCAGUGGAAAAUUUGAGAUAUUCGCAAGAGUGUUUGUUAACCGCAUAGUGUUUUCACCAAGUCACCAAGGUGGUUAAGGAGCUUUUUAACCCUGUAAUGCCUAACGCGCUUUCUGUAUACUGCGCUGUUUGAGGCGGCAAAGUUCGAAUUAUCGCGAGGGAAAAACAAGUAGCGACAGUAUUAGGCUGGAGCCCAUUGUAGUUAUUGAAUAGCUUAAGAUUUCAAUUCUUAUGUUGAUUGUUAAUUACCUUCGCUCAUACAUAGUGUGUUUAGUACAAAUGUACCCUCCACGGCGAGAAAUAAAGGUGGAAAGAUUCUGUGAAUUUUCUGUGAUGUACAACUGUG